GACGAACGCUGGCGGCGUGCUUAACACAUGCAAGUCGAACGGUAAGGCCCUUCGGGGUACACGAGUGGCGAACGGGUGAGUAACACGUGGGUGAUCUGCCCUGCACUUCGGGAUAAGCCUGGGAAACUGGGUCUAAUACCGGAUAGGACUCCUGGCUUCAUGGUUGGGGGUGGAAAGCUUUUGCGGUGUGGGAUGGGCCCGCGGCCUAUCAGCUUGUUGGUGGGGUAAUGGCCUACCAAGGCGACGACGGGUAGCCGGCCUGAGAGGGUAACCGGUCACACUGGGACUGAGAUACGGCCCAGACUCCUACGGGAGGCAGCAGUGGGGAAUACUGCACAAUGGGCGCAAGCCUGAUGCAGCAACGCCGCGUGAGGGAUGACGGCCUUCGGGUUGUAAACCUCUUUUAGCAGGGAAGAAGCGAAAGUGACGGUACCUGCAGAAAAAGCACCGGCUAACUACGUGCCAGCAGCCGCUGUAA
rnacentral:rRNA from 1 species